rnacentral:lncRNA from 1 species
GAAGAACUCAGGGAGCGAGUGUGUUGUCACACAACAGGAAGGCCCAGUGGAAGUCGGGGGCCAUGAAACAGUUUACAAGAUGUGACUUCCUCCUAAGGUUCUUAGCAGCUCCUGUGUAGGAUGGGAGAAGCCAAUCGAAUAGACCCAGGGUUGAAUAUAAUGGAAAGAAAGGGCAUAAAGAUAUUUUGAGAACUUGGAAAGGAUACAGUUAAAGUGUUUGGCCAUGAGGCUUUGCUUGAACAAAGACAAUAGAUAAAAACAAGAGGAAAUUGAUGGAUCUAGAAGAAAAUAAAAAGCCUCAUGAUAAUGACCUUGAGUUACAGGUACAUUGUGUUGUCCAUCCCAGGGAAAGGAGAGAGGCCAGGCAUGACCUGCGAGAGAAGGAGGUCAGUGAGAUGACUGGAUGGGAGACGUGGUUAGCCCAGGUGAGCCAGUGGUCUUGUAUUCCACCCAGACAGAUUGGUAGUGAGAAGGGGUUCUGCAUCAAGGCCUAAGUUGAAUUGGGACACUGAAACUCACUAGUGUGUGCUCGCGGGUUAAUUAUUCUCUCGAUGUCUCUGUUUUCUCAUUUUAAACUAGGGAUAAUAAUAACAUCUUUCUCAUGGAACAUUUAUGAGCAUUGAAGGAGAUAAGAUAUGCAAAUGAAACUACUAUAUUUAAGAGAAUAAAUUGGAUGGCAUAUGACACCGCAUAUUGCUUGUACAGACGAAACAGUGGAUUUAAAUCUCUGUGCACAAGCUCGAGCUCCAGGCAGUCUAUUAGGAAAGAAAGGAAGAAGAAAAAAAAAAUCCUGAACCUGACAAAAAAGAAGAAAAAGAAGAAGAAAAAAAAUCAUGAAAACCAUCCAGGCAAAAAUGCACAAUUCUGUCUCUUGGGCAAUCUUCACGGGGCUGGCUGCUCUGUGUCUCUUCCAAGAAACCGACCAUUUCUCCUUCGAAGGAUUGUCGUUCCUUUCAACACCUUCUGAUGAGCGCGAUUCCUCUCUCACCUUCAUUUUUCUCGCACCCCCUCCCAUCCCACCGCAACUUCUCCGCCCACUGGAGACCUGGAUGGUGCAGAGUAGAGGGGAAGAUGAUUCAGCCAAGAGCGCAUUCACCUUUGCUCGGAGCCAAGUACGCAGUCCCAUUCAGGGUGAAAGCCCGGCUGAGUUCCUGCCACUCCCAGCAAACACGCAGGUGCCCGCAGCAGCCCAAGCUGAGCAGUGGUCCUGA